UUUGUACUCCCUCCGUCCCUAAAUUUUUGUCAUAAAUUUGUCUAAAUAUGGAUGUAUCUAGUUACAUUUUAGUGUUAGAUACAUCCGUAUCAAAACAAAUGUAAGACAAGAAUUUUGGGACGGAGGGAAUACUAC
rfam:Triticum aestivum genome assembly, contig: Triticum_aestivum_CS42_TGACv1_scaffold_231640_3B